AACGCGAAGAACCUUACCAAAUCCUGACAUCCCGAUGACAGGCUGUGUAAAGCAGCUUCUCUUCGGAGCAUCGGUGACAGGUGGUGCAUGGUUGUCGUCAGCUCGCGUCGUGAGAUGUUGGGUUAAGUCCCGCAACGAGCGCAACCCUUAUCUUUAGUAGCCAGCAUUUAAGGUGGGCACUCUAGAGAGACUGCCGGGGAUAACCCGGAGGAAGGUGGGGAUGACGUCAAAUCAUCAUGCCCCUUAUGACCAGGGCUACACACGUGCUACAAUGGCGUAAACAAAGGGAAGCGACCCUGUGAAGGUAAGCAAAUCCCAAAAAUAACGUCUCAGUUCGGAUUGUAGUCUGCAACUCGACUACAUGAAGCUGGAAUCGCUAGUAAUCGCGAAUCAGAAUGUCGCGGUGAAUACGUUCCCGGGUCUUGUACACACGC
rnacentral:rRNA from 1 species